rnacentral:rRNA from 1 species
UACGUAGGGGGCAAGCGUUGUCCGGAUUUAUUGGGCGUAAAGAGCGUGUAGGCGGUCUGGUAGGUCCGUUGUGAAAACUCGAGGCUCAACCUCGAGACGCCGAUGGAAACCCUCAGACUAGAGUCCGGAAGAGGAGAGUGGAAUUCCUGGUGUAGCGGUGAAAUGCGCAGAUAUCAGGAAGAACACCCGUGGCUAAGGCGGCUCUCUAGUACGUGACUGACGCUGAGACGCGAAAGCGUGGGGAGCAAACAGG